GCCCGCCACUCGGCUGCACACCCUCUGGAGCAGCCCCGCCACGAGACUCUUCUGACAGCGGCGCGGCCCGCGCGGCUCCGGAGCGCAGGAACGGGCGGACGGCGGCGGCUCGGGAGGACGCGAGCGCUGCGGCCGGGAGCCAAGUGCGGGGGUCGGCGGCGCGCAGAGAUCCUCUCUGAAGUAGCUGGGACCUCAAGUCUCCCCAUCCCUGAGGAUUAGGCUGGGCAGAAGAGGAAAAGAGAAUGGCUUGGGGCUUACCCAGUGCUGAACAGUGAGACACAGCUUCUUGGACCUGGAACUCCGAAUGGGAGGUUAUACUGCUGGAGUGACUCAAGAAGAAUUGAUGCUCUGGCCCCCAGACAUGUACACGGUGUGAUGACAGAGGGAAAACAGAAGAUGCUGAGGAGAGGGUAGGACCGCGUGGGGAUCCAGUCAAAGAGGUAGAGGAAACACAAACUGCUCUCAAGCAACUUCAGGAAAUGAACGGAUUUGCAGAAAACCUUGUGGCCUGAAAUUGAAGCCUAAGGAGUCGGUGCUUCCUCUGGAUUCUCAGUCUCUGUUGGAGGCCUUGCUAAGCAGCCUUGAGAGUGGGAGCUUGUCCUUGUACAGUGCUGACCCAUCUUCACAGAGGAGAACAAGAGAAGAGCUAGGAGCUGGCAGAGGAGCCAGGGAGCAGCAGAUCCUGGUGCUCCGUACCCAAGGCCAUCCCCAAGGGAGGGUUACCCACGACCACAGGGAUUCAUUGCUCCUCUCCCCAACUCCAGUGAGGGACCUAGCAAAUAGCCCAAUGAAGGCCUUUCUCUCUGGCACCAUGGGUCAUGUCAAUCAAGUGUGUGAGAAAAAUAAUAAGUCUCCA
rnacentral:lncRNA from 1 species